UCUAUGACCCAUACCACCCUGGACGCACCCGAUCUCGUCUGAUCUCCGAAGUUAAGCAGGAUCGGGCCUGGUUAGUACUUGGACGGGGAGUAAUUGUGCUGUUUAUAGAU
rnacentral:rRNA from 1 species